UGGCUACGGGGAGAGGGGAUGGGUCAGGAGAAAGUUGGGAUGUGGCUAGCGUCGGGGGCAGGUUGGCUAUGAGGAGAGGGGAUGGGUCAGGAGAAAGUUGGGAUGUGGCCAGUGUCGGGGGCAGGUUGGCUAUGGGGAGAGGGGAUGGGUCAGGGGAAAGUUGGGGCAUGGCCAGUGUCGGGGGCAGGUUG